rnacentral:lncRNA from 1 species
GAACACAAAAUUCUUCUCAAAUGUUGUGAAAGGUAGGUGGAACCAAAACAAAAUCCUCUCGAUAGAGGAUUCUUCUGGAACUCUGGUGCAUGGUCAAGAAGCUGUGGAGCUAGCAGCAGUGGAUUAUUUCCAAAAUCUUUUAUGUCCUAAUCUACUUGAGGUGUCCCAUAGGAUUUUGGACCAUAAGACUUUCUUCUCAAAGCAGUUAAGUAUUC